GGAGCAGAUAGGCGUCCUUCUCUUGGAAACAAGUCCCCAAAUGAGCAAACAAGGCCGGAGCAACAACCUGAUUUUCAUGCAAAUGCUUUCCCUUCAAGAGUACCGCAAGAGCACAAACAAGGAUUAGCUGCUGACGGUCAUUUGCAUACCCUCGGCCAACUCCAAGCAUUUUUUAACCUCUAUGGCAAAGCAUUUCGCUCACCAUGAAUCGUCCCUUCCGCCCCUUCCUGUGCAGCAGAGUGACAGACAACAAACUGCUCCCUGGAAUGACCCAUGGCACUGCAGGCUUGCUGGGCGACGUGGGGAUGGCAUGAAGAUGUCAUCUGCAGUGUAAAGAAGAUGGAGCCCAGGGAGUCUCCGGGGCCUUUGUAAGGGCUCGAUAUUGCUGAGCUGGGAUUUCGGCAAGAGACGGCGUGUGGAGCUAAUCCUGCAGCACAAUAACCGGCUCUACGCCGUGGGUGUCGAAUUUGCUAAACGGAGGUUGUUUAUUGUUUGCCCAUGUAAUGAUGUGCACGGGGCUUAGACCAAUUUGGAAAUAUUAAUAAACAUGACAGUGC
rnacentral:lncRNA from 7 species